GUUGUGGGCACGUGCCAGAAGCAGUUGGGAUAGCAUAUUAAAUCAUCAAAGCAAGUCCGUACUUGUGGUUGCUCACAAUGCUGUCAAUCAGGCUCUUGUUGCAACAGCAAUUGGCUUGGGAACUGAGUAUUUCAGAGUUUACUUGAGAGCAACUGUGGUGUUAGUGUGUUAGAUUUUAUUCCUCGAGCAGAGGACAAGUCUCCACACAUCUGCCUUAAUCGCUUAAAUCAGGUCGAGGUGGUUUGGAGCGGAAAACACCUCCGCAAGGCUACAUAAGCCCUGGACUUCUUUGAUCGAUUUUGGUGGUUUGCUUACUACAAUGUUGGAUGAGAUGUUAAGCCGGAAAGGGUG